AUUGAACGCUGGCGGCAGGCCUAACACAUGCAAGUCGAACGAGGGGCGGACGGGUGAGUAAUGUCUGGGAAACUGCUCGAUGGCGGGGGAUAACUACUGGAAACGGUAGCUAAUACCGCAUACCAUCGGAUGUGCCCAGAUGGGAUUAGCUAGUAGGUGGGGUAACGGCUCACCUAGGCAACGAGCCCUAGCUGGUCUGAGAGGAUGACCAGCCACACUGGAACUGAGACACGGUCCAGACGCCUACGGGAGGCAGAAGGGGGGAAUAUUGCACAAUGGGCGCAAGCCUGAUGCAGCAAUGCCGCGUGUAUGAAGAAGGCCUUCGGGUUGUAAAGUACUUUCAGCGAGGAGGCGUUACUCGCAGAAGAAGCACCGGCUAACUCCGUGCCAGCAGCCGCGGUAAUUC
rnacentral:rRNA from 1 species